CAGAGAAUAGUUUAAUGUAAGAAUCCUAGCUUUGGGAGUUAGGGGCAGGAGUUAGAGUCUCCUUUUUCUGA
rnacentral:tRNA from 3 species